rnacentral:lncRNA from 1 species
CUUCGUCUCCGGAAGUGGGUCGACGCUCAGGGGAAACGCAUUGAUAGCUAAGGUGGCGAAGGCCACGUCCGUCCCAUCGUCGAGCUCCAGCAGGGGGGUUGUGGUGGCGUCGGCAGAGACUGCUGCUGGUGGGUACGCCGCGGCUUUGGCCGAUCUUUCCCAGUCCAACAACGACCUGGAGAAGAUCGCCAAGGACAUGGAGGGUCUGGGUGAGCUCCUGAACAACGACACCUUGUAUAAUUUCUUGGUGUCUCCCAUCAUUGACGGUGACAAGAAGAAGAGCAUUAUCAAGACCGUUGCUGAGGAUGCAGAAUUCAGCGCUGUCACCCUCUCCUUCCUCAACCUCCUGGUGGAUAAGAAGCGGAUUGAUAUCGUCAGGGAAGUCACCAAGGAAUUCGAGGCCAUCUACAACGAGCUCACGGAUACUCAGGUGGCUAAUGUUAUCUCGGCUGUCAAGAUCGAGAAGCCACAGCUUGCCCUCAUCGCCAAGAAGAUUCAGAGUUUGUGUGGCGCGAAGAAUGUGAGGAUCAAGAACGUUGUGGACCCUUCCCUGAUCGCUGGCUUCAUUGUGCAGUAUGGAAAGGACGGCUCCCGCUACAUUGACAUGAGUGUUAAGGGGCAAUUGGAC